CGGCGGACGGGUGAGUAACGCGUGGGUAACCUACCCUGUACACACGGAUAACAUACCGAAAGGUAAUGCUAAUACGGGAUAAUAUAUUUGAGAGGCAUCUCUUGAAUAUCAAAGGUGAGCCAGUACAGGAUGGACCCGCGUCUGAUUAGCUAGUUGGUAAGGUAACGGCUUACCAAGGCGACGAUCAGUAGCCGACCUGAGAGGGUGAUGGCCACAUUGGAACUGAGACACGGUCCAA
rnacentral:rRNA from 1 species